CACACCCGUUCCCAUACCGAACACGGAAGUUAAGCUCUUCAGCGCCGAUGGUAGUCGGGGGUUUCCCCCUGUGAGAGUAGGACGCCGCCAAGC
rnacentral:rRNA from 8 species